rnacentral:rRNA from 1 species
CCUACGGGUGGCAGCAGGGAGGAAUAUUGGUCAAUGGGAGAGAGCCUGAACCAGCCAAGCCGCGGGAGGGAAGAGGGCCCGAGGGGGUGUAAACCUCUUUUGUCGGAGAACAAAACCCGGGACGUGUCCCGGACUGCGUGUAUCCGAAGAAAAAGCAGGGGCUAACUCCGUGCCAGCAGCCGCGGUAAUACGGAGGAUGCGAGCGUUAUCCGGAUUUAUUGGGUUAAAAGGGUGCGUAGGUGGUCCGUUAAGUCAGCGGUAAAAUUGCGGGGCUCAACCCCGUCGAGCCGUUGAAACUGGCAGACUUGAGUUGGCGAGAAGUACGCGCAAUGCGCGGUGUAGCGGUGAAAUGCAUAGAUAUCGCGCAGAACUCCGAUUGCGAAGGCAGCGUACCGGCGCCAGACUGAUGCUGAGGCACGACAGCGUGGGGAUCGAACAGGAUUAGAUCCCCGAGUAGUC